GGAAGUAAAAGUCGUAACAAGGUCUCCGUUGGUGAACCAGCGGAGGGAUCAUUACAGAGUUGCAAAACUCCCUAAACCAUUGUGAACGUUACCUAAACCGUUGCUUCGGCGGGCGGCCCCGGGGUUUACCCCCCGGGCGCCCCUGGGCCCCACCGCGGACGCCCGCCGGAGGUCACCAAACUCUUGAUAAUUUAUGGCCUCUCUGAGUCUUCUGUACUGAAUAAGUCAAAACUUUCAACAACGGAUCUCUUGGUUCUGGCAUCGAUGAAGAACGCAGCGAAAUGCGAUAAGUAAUGUGAAUUGCAGAAUUCAGUGAAUCAUCGAAUCUUUGAACGCACAUUGCGCCCGCCAGUAUUCUGGCGGGCAUGCCUGUUCGAGCGUCAUUUCAACCAUCAAGCCCCAGGCUUGUGUUGGGGACCUGCGGCUGCCGCAGGCCCUGAAAAGCAGUGGCGGGCUCGCUGUCACACCGAGCGUAGUAGCAUACAUCUCGCUCUGGGCGUGCUGCGGGUUCCGGCCGUUAAACCACCUUUUAACCCAAGGUUGACCUCGGAUCAGGUAGGAAGACCCGCUGAACUUAAGCAUAUCAAUAAGCGGAGGAAAAGAAACCAACAGGGAUUGCCCUAGUAACGGCGAGUGAAGCGGCAACAGCUCAAAUUUGAAAUCUGGCUUCGGCCCGAGUUGUAAUUUGCAGAGGAAGCUUUAGGCGCGGCACCUUCUGAGUCCCCUGGAACGGGGCGCCAUAGAGGGUGAGAGCCCCGUAUAGUUGGAUGCCUAGCCUGUGUAAAGCUCCUUCGACGAGUC
rnacentral:sRNA from 1 species